rnacentral:lncRNA from 1 species
UAUUUAGAUGAUAUAGUCUUUGUUUUACUGGUUCACAGUGUUUAACACCUUCUUAGCCAUUGUCGAUUUUCAGUAAUAUAGUAUUUGAUAUGUAAUUAUUUGUAAUUUCUUAGUCUUAAUCAAUAAAUAAAAACUAACUAAUUCAUAAAAUGAUAGACCCAAGCCAUAGACCCAAAUGGAGCUACCUAAACGCCUUCUUAACCCAAACCAUAGACCCAAACGGAGCUACCUAAACCCCCUUAAACCCAAAUUCUAAACCCUAAACCCAAACCGUAAACCCUUAAUCCAAACCCUAAACCCAAAUUGUAAAACCAAACCAUAGCCCAUAACGGAGCUACCUAAACCCUAACCUUGAAGGUCUAAACCCUAAACCCAAACCGUAGACCCUAAACUCAAACCCUAAACCCAAAACCCCCAUAAACCCAAACUCUAAACCCUAAACCCAAAUC